UCCUUUUCCCAACCUGUAUUCAAGGUUCGCCCAAGCAGAGCAGACCACAACUUUAGAGCAAUUACUUGGAGAGGAUCAGGAGGGGCCGAGGGGAUUCUGUUUGCUUAUUUGCGUGAACCUAAAAUGCCUGCUUUCUUAAUUAAGCCUUAACUCUGGGUUUUGCCUCAAGCUUUUCAUUUUUCCCUCGUUAACAGGUUUCAACUUUUCUUCCUCACUGCAGGCCUUGGGCUUUGCCCACUGGCUUUCUCUUCCUCCUAAGUAGCAUCUGCUGCUGCCCCACCACGGAGGACGCCUCCCUUUUUAUCCCUACUCCCCAGCUGCUUUUAACAUCAUAAUUAUAGCCACGAGCAGUAUAUAAUCCUCGUGGCUGGCAAAGCGUCGCGUACACAGGAGAUGUUUCAUAAAUGCCUCUUGAACAAAUGAAUGCAUCAAGGAAUGCAUAAACGAGUAAACUGGGUCUGGUAUUCAGGCUCGCACUCAAGCUGGUGGAGUAUCUGCGGGCGCCCAGAUGCAGGCCGGCCUGGGGCUCAGCCGGCACACCCCCAGGCAGCAGAGAAGGUGACGCUGGGCCUUCAGUGACAGGAUCAGAUGUUCUUCCGAGGGAGAUCCCGACGGGUUCUGGAUCAAAGUCCUGCAGGCCUUGCCUACUUCUUCCGAAGACAGGACUCCGGGCAGAGGUGCUGCUUCAAGUCCAUGCCCAUGGCCACCAUGUAUGUGCCCGCCGCGUCUCACUAGGUUACCCACAGAGC